UCCAAUAUUGGAUAUGAUAGCUAUUCAUCUAGACAUAUUUAGUGGAGAUCUGCAGCUCCUGAAGCUGCUUCUUGAGGGCUAUGGACUUCCUUUUGUGAGAAGUACAUCUUAUCUAGCCAUGUGAGUAUAAUGUCCAGUGUGUUCUUACGCCUGGCUUUGUUUUGAAGAUCUUAUCAUCUGCUAGUAAAUAGUACAGAAAAGCUGGUAUGUCGUUAGAGGAAUUGGCUAAAUCCAGUGGUCAUUCGAACAUCUGGCCCUACAUUACAAAAAGAUGCAAAGGGAAAAUCUUUGCUGAGUUAAGGGAUGCACUCUCAUGGGAGUAGGUUACAAAUCUAGCGUCCUUUUUAGGGAAGCAGCUGUGUGACCUUAAUGUUUUGCCUGUCACUCCUCUGAGUGAUUUGUCAUAUUCGCACAUGGAAAAGACAAUGGAAAUAGGUCAUGAUGACGGUUUCAUGGAGCGUCUUGGUGAAAGGUCAAUCUCCCAGCAGCAUCAAAAGUUUUCUUCACAAUCCUAAAUAGGAAAAAGAAGUCAAGUAGCUUGAUGAAAUGGCGUUAUCCGAUUCCAAGUGCACUGAUCGAGAAAGUUAACGAGUACCUUCCAAAGGACUUUGUAGAAGUUGCAUAGUCUGUUCAAGAUUAGUUAACAUCCUAAAUACUUCAAGAUGUUUUUCAUAUUGUUAGAUGCAAGGUUUAAUCUUCAUAAUCAAAGCAUUACUACUGAUGGAGAAGGGAGGAUUGAGUUUCUAGUUUUUUAAUAAGUUCAAAAAGUUCUCAUACCAAUUUUAUAAUUUUUAUGGAUCAUUUAUCUUUCUGCUUUGUCUUUCACAAUGUAGGGAACCUGUUUGAAGUGUGCAAUUGUUGCUCUUGGAUACACACGGAUAUAAUGGACGAUAAUAACCCACUUGGAGUUCUGAUUUAGUUUUUAUGAUAUGAAGUUUUUAUACCAGAUGAACUAUUUUUAUUAUUCAUAAAAAUCAUAACAAAUAUCGAGAUUAUGAUGUUUGCCAAUCAUUAAAUCUGGGUAGUUGCCUUCCACACUUGCUAUUAUACUUGAAUUUAUAUAUUUCUGGCGAUCCAAUAUUGGAUUUGAUACCUAUCCAUCUAGACAUAUUUUGUGGAGAUCUGCAGCUCCUGAAGCUGCUUCUUGAGGGCUACGGACUUCCUUUUGGGAGAAGAAAAUCAUCUGAUGAUGGUAGCAAGGGCAGACGAAUAUCUUACCUAGCCAUGUAUUAAGACUAAUACACGAGGAGAAUAUGCUAGGAGCGAUUUUCGGUAGGAAUGAGAUUCCCUCAAGUUUUCCUAACUUGAUUCGGUAUGUGGAAAGAAUUGAGGAUGGCAAAAUCAUGGGUGGAAGUUGAUGAAACCAUGUGGGGCGAUCUGAAUAAAUACUUGUCGGUUAUAGGGCAUCCGUUGACCUUCAAGUGCGUUGUAACAUGAGGGUGAUGCACUUGAUUAUAAUGCCAUUUCUGAAUGGCAAAAUAAGAGAUUAUUUGUCACAUCUAUCUCUUGUUGUGACAAUUCUUAAUUCAUGUGUUGUAAUAAUGUUACAAAAAAGACAAAUAUACAAUCCUGCACAAAAUUGGAUGGAAGCCUAUAGUGAUGUGGUGUUUUGUACUUAAAAAG